CAGAGAAAUUGCAAAAAACACAAGUUACAUCUCAGACUCUUGGCCCCAGUGUGUUUAAAUGUUAAAGUUCGGGACAGUAAAAUAAAAGACUGCACAAGUAUGGUUUGUUUGGAAGGGUUUCUGUGAGAGAGCCCCUUCUCUCUAAAUAGAACAUGGCAGCACAGCUUAGGUUUGCAAAGCUGCAUCUGGACAAGCCACAACACUUUUGGAACGAUGUCC